GUCUACGGCCAUAUCGCCCUGAACGUGCCCAAUCUCAUCUGAUCUCGGAAGCUAAGCAGGGUCGGGCCUGGUUAGUACUUGGAUGGGAGACCGCCUGGGAAUACCAGGUGCUGUAGGCU